rnacentral:rRNA from 1 species
AACGAACGCUGGCGGCAGGCUUAACACAUGCAAGUCGAACGGGUGUAGCAAUACAUCAGUGGCAGACGGGUGAGUAACACGUGGGAACCUUCCUAGGGGUACGGAACAACUCAGGGAAGCUUGAGCUAAUACCGUAUACGUCCGUGAGGAGAAAGAUUUAUCGCCCUUAGACGGGCCCGCGUCGGAUUAGCUAGUUGGUGGGGUAACGGCCUACCAAGGCGACGAUCCGUAGCUGAUCUUAGAGGAUGAUCAGCCACACUGGGACUGAGACACGGCCCAGACUCCUACGGGAGGCAGCAGUGGGGAAUCUUGGACAAUGGGCGCAAGCCUGAUCCAGCCAUACCGCGUGAGUGAAGAAGGUCUUCGGAUUGUAAAGCUCUUUUGCCAGGGACGAUAAUGACGGUACCUGGAGAAUAAGCCCCGGCAAACUUCGUGCCAGCCGCCGCGGUAAAAC